GUCUUAUCAAUUUGUAAGUCGCUCUGGAUAAGAGCGUCUGCGCUAAAUGACUUAAA
rfam:Salmo salar isolate Sally breed double haploid chromosome ssa01, whole genome shotgun sequence.